rnacentral:rRNA from 1 species
UACAGGGGGGUGCAAACGUUGCUCGGAAUUAUUGGGCGUAAAGCGCGCGUAGGCGGUUACUUAAGUCGGAUGUGAAAGCCCUCGGCUUAAACUGAGGAAGUGCACCCGAAACUGAGUAGCUAGAGUACGAAAGAGGGUCGCGGAAUUCCCGGUGUAGAGGUGAAAUUCGUAGAUAUCGGGAGGAACACCGGUGGCGAAGGCGGCGACCUGGGUCGAGACUGACGCUGAGGCGCGAAAGCGUGGGGAGCAAACAGG